GCAUGUCUAGCUCAGUUGGUAUAGCGCAAGGCUCUUAACCUUAUUGUCCUGGGUUCGAGACCCAGGGAGUGCA
rnacentral:tRNA from 1 species